rnacentral:rRNA from 1 species
AGCGGCAGGCCUAACACAUGCAAGUCGAGGGGUAACAGGAAAGCUUGCUUUCGCUGACGACCGGCGCACGGGUGCGUAACGCGUAUGCAACCUACCUCAUACUGGAGGAUAGCCCCUGGAAACGGGGAUUAAUACUCCAUAGUAUCACGAAUUCGCAUGUUUUUGUGAUUAAAGUUUUUCGGUAUGAGAUGGGCAUGCGUCCCAUUAGCUUGUUGGUGAGGUAACGGCUCACCAAGGCAACGAUGGGUAGGGGGCCUGAGAGGGUGGUCCCCCACACUGGUACUGAGACACGGACCAGACUCCUACGGGAGGCAGCAGUGAGGAAUAUUGGUCAAUGGAGGCAACUCUGAACCAGCCAUGCCGCGUGAAGGAUGACGGCCCUAUGGGUUGUAAACUUCUUUUAUAGAGGAAGAAACUUGUCUACGUGUAGACAACUGACGGUACUCUACGAAUAAGGAUCGGCUAACUCCGUGCCAGCAGCCGCGGUAAUACGGAGGAUCCAAGCGUUAUCCGGAUUCAUUGGGUUUAAAGGGUCCGUAGGCGGGUCUUUAAGUCAGUGGUGAAAGCCGACAGCUCAACUGUCGAACUGCCAUUGAUACUGGAGACCUUGAGUACAAAUGAAGUAGGCGGAAUGAGUCAUGUAGCGGUGAAAUGCAUAGAUAUGACUCAGAACACCGAUUGCGAAGGCAGCUUACUAACAUGUAACUGACGCUGAGGGACGAAAGCGUGGGGAGCGAACAGGAUUAGAUACCCUGGUAGUCCACGCCGUAAACGAUCAUCACUCGCUGGUUGGCGAAUAU